CCACCAAAUCAUAAUCUCUGCAUUACCUUAGAACUCAGAAUACAUAACAAUAGUAAAAGAUCAAAAAUAAGCUAGACAACUUAAUAAUCAAUAAAUAUUUUAACUAGAUAAUUCAAACAAUAUAAAUAAUAAUUUUACAAAAUAAGCAUGUGGAAUUCACUAGUUGAUAAUCAAAACUAGAUAGGCAGCACAUCAAAACAUCAUACAUAUGAAUCCUAUUUUUCACAAAAUUCAAUGUUCAUGAAUCCAAUUUGUUUUAAAACAUCAAGUUCAUGUCAUCAACCAUAAAUUAAAUAAUGACCACAUCAUCCCUAUGUUAGGAUCCUUUUUAUGAUUUCGCACAUUUUCUUGCAAUGAAGACUUUUGAGAUAAAUCAUAUGGCAAUAUUUAACCCCAUAUGUGAGGUCCUUUACCAAUGUUUAGCCUCUAUUAGCAGCUUCCUUGUGUUGCACCACUUUGGCAGUGUACCACCUCUUUUGUGAUGUAUAUCCUUCAAGACUAAUCAAGUACCAAAGUUUAACCCUCAUUGGCAAGUAUCUUAGCCAACAUUUAACUCCACAUUGGCCACAUCCUUUGCAUAGUCGAUUUCAAAGUCUAAAACCAUCUCAAAUCAAAGCUCUUUUUUCAUAAAAUAUGAUCUAUGUUCCAAAUCAAAAAAUUUAUAAACCCAUGUGAUAUUGAAAUCAAUUGAGCAUAAUCCAUAACAAAAUUAAUGCUUUCAAUCACAUAUCAUGUGAUGUUCCAAAACAAGAUAUAUUAAAUAAUAAAGUACGAUGCAUCAAAUAAAUGCAUCAUGAAAAAUAUACUAUGAUUCAAAAUUUAUUAAUACAAUAACUAAUAAUUUGCUUAUUAAUCUAGAAAAAGGGUUAAAUGACUAGCCUCACAAGUACAUUGAUUUAUGCAAGUAAUUAAAACAGUUCCUUCUCAAAAUAUUAAGUUAUGCACCAUAUUGUAACAUCCCCUCGCUAGACAUCUUCUUGUCUAGGCAAUUUUAUCCCAAAUAGUGGGGUGUCCAAUAUUAUAGGUUAGUCUGAUUUGGUAGUCUAAGAAGACCAAUCAUAGAAUAGAGAUCAACAAGAAUAUGGAUAAUACUAAAGAGAUUAAUGAUGGUAGAAUGUAAUAGUGUGCAGCUAGGAUUGGGGAGUGGGAUGAUGCACAGCAUGGCAAUCACAAGUUUAGGACCUUUUUAUAGGGGUUAACCCAAAUUAUAGGGAGAAGGAACCCUCUGAU
rnacentral:lncRNA from 1 species